GCUAAUUUAGGUUUUUUUCAUUGCAGAUUAAGCAAAGAAGAGAAGCGAUUGAUGAAGGAAGAAGAAAAGAGACAAAGAGAGUUGAAGAAACUAGAGCAGCAGAAAGAAAGAGAGAGAAAGAAGAAAGAGGAACUGAAAACAAAAAUAGACAAAAAUCAAUGAAGCAUUUCAAAGAUUAUAAAUUACCUGAUAUCAUCAAACCGUUGUUUGGUGUAGAGGCAACAGAGGAUCGCAAAGGAAACAAAGAUCAUUUGACAGUUACUAAAGGAGAGAAACUAUCAGUUUUACAAAUUGCUCAUCCUAAGCAAGAUUGAUUUAUGACUUAUUGAUGGGAUUUCUUUUGUUCGUUUGUAUUAGAUUUUUAUUUCUUUACUAAUAAUUUAAAAGUUUUUGAUACUAGAUAAA